rnacentral:rRNA from 1 species
UGCGUAGGUGGUUUGAUAAGUCAGAGGUGAAAGCCCACCGCUUAACGGUGGAAUUGCCUUUGAUACUGUCAGACUUGAAUAAGGUUGAGGUCAGCGGAAUGUGUCAUGUAGCGGUGAAAUGCAUAGAUAUGACAUAGAACACCAAUUGCGAAGGCAGCUGGCUAGACCUUUAUUGACACUGAGGCACGAAAGCGUGGGGAGCGAACAGGAUUAGAUACCCUGGUAGUCC